AUCGGCACUUCUAAUCAGGAGCUACGUCGCGAGGUUGCUGAUCUUAGAGCUCGGAUAGCUGAGAUGGACAGUCUUAGGGAGGAGCUUAGGUCUCAGAUGCAUUGGAUUAAUAACAAUAUGGUUAAUUCUUAGGGCGAUUGUCCUGCUCCCACUCCUAAUGAUCCACCAUCUUUUACUCG